ACAGAAAGCUGAGCAAGUUAUCGACCAGAAAGAACUUUACAGCAACGUGUUUUCAUUUCUAUCUAGAUGCAGUGACUUAAAAACAAUAUUUGAGGCGAUGCUUAUUUUUGGCAGGGUCAACGAGCAAAAAGAACCUAGAAGCCUGAAUUUUGUGGGAAUCAAAGGACUUCAAUACAAAUUUGUUUGUGACAGAAUACGUCACGAGACGCUGAAUGCGGUGCAAGAAAUGGGAAAAUUUCAGGAUAUUGCACUAGAUGUUACAAACAACCAGUGGCGGGAUGAAAUGGAAAAAUUUUCCCACAAAAUAAAACAGUUGGAGAGAAAAAUAGUUGCCGUGAUAAAUUCCAUAAUGGAUGAUGCUGCAAAUGUAUUUGAAGGCGUCAACAGCUUACAGGGACUUCUACACUUUCUCCAAAAAGACUCACU